UUAGUACUCCCUUCGUUCCGAAUUACUUGUCACAGGUAUGGAUGUAUCUAGAUGUAUUUUAGUUUUACAUACAUCCACUUCUGCGACGAGUAAUUUGGGACAGUGGGAGUACUUC
rnacentral:pre_miRNA from 1 species